UGCUGGAAAAAAAGGAGGGGAAAACCGGAGCAGAAAUAAUUGCUGGAGCUUCCAGUGAGCUGAGAGAGCCUGCAGGCAGAGAUCAACGGGCCUGAUUUCAUCCUCUUCCUUUUAUUUCUAUAACCUUAAACGUUCUGCUAUUAUAAAAGUCAUCAUGUCAGCUUUCUCUCCAGCCUCUCCAGCUGCCCAUUUUCAAAUUGUAUCAAUUGAGACGCAGGAGGGGGAGGCACGAGGGAGGCUGACAGGAAGUGAGGAUUCGAAACUUCAAAUACAAACAUUAUGAAAAACAAGCAACAUCUGCAAACAACACUCUUGCUCAGGCACUUCCUGGACAGUUGGAUAUAACUGAGCAAUCUCCGUGCAACGGGAAACCAGAAAAGCCCAACUUUCAGCAGGCUUAAUAUUUGGAUAAUCCUGCAUAAUGAUUUCAGGGUUAAGUCACAGAAUGCUCUAUCAGCUUCUCUAUGCAUACUAGGUGCCCAGACUGCUGGGUGACCUGCUUUGGGGGAGAAAAAGCGAGGGUGGGGGGAAGAUCCCUCUGUGUAAACAAACAAUUUUUUGCUGCCUUGGCAAAAUGUAAACAGAACCCACGCACCUUGCCCUGGGGAUCAGCCUGGCAAGAUCUAGUUUGACAGAACUUGCUGCACAGCGUCUCCUCGACGUCCUGGAAAUUCUAGAGGGAAAAAUAACGCACGAGUUGCUGCUGUCUGUGCCUUGUGGAAUCUUAAGUAGAAUGAAACAGGCCCCCGACAAUCAAUAUUACUGACAAAUAAAUUAAUCUCGGCAAAUAAACUGUUGUUAGCUUCAAGGCUGUCCCAGUACCCAGAAUAAUUGCUUAAAUGAAGCUGAGGCCUUUUCACCAGUUUGCAGCUAUUUUUUCUGGUCAUCUACCUGUGGGUAGCACUCAGGUUGUCCAGAGGGAAUUGGUUUUAUAAAAUAAAAUCAUACAGUGGCCCUGACCUUGCUCCAUUAGCUCCCUCAGUGCUAGAGCUCUGUCCUGGCUUCAGAACAAACACUUUUGCCAAAUGCUGAGAAGAUGCCUGCCCUUCACCUACCUUGAGGGAGGCAGGAGGCAAGAGAGAAGUAGGCAGUGAUUGUCUACAUUGCUGCCCAAACCCUUAAGUUUAGCAGAAGUAGUUUGGAAGCUUGGGGUAAGCAAGGCACUCAAUGUCAAGAUUGCAAAAUUCUAGUUUUUCUUAAGGAAUAUAAAGGGCACAUAUACUCCUGUGACUUCCAAGAUCCCUAAGUUUGUGUGGGAGGAGUUGGGGGAGGGGGGUUCAUAUCUAGAGGUAAAACUCACCCAGUCUGCACCACUAUUAAAUAUUGGUCUGCUUUGUGCCAGUUGAAACAUAGUCAUCGCCCCCCUCCCCAAGCCCUCUGCUGCCCACAGCUCUGGCCUUUCCUCAGAACUUCCUCCCCUUUCCUUAAUUCAGCACCUAAAGGGUUAAUAUCUAAGGCAGCAGGAACUCCCAGCACCCCGACCCCAGUGCUGAUUGGUGGCGGUGGGGGGGUGGUCAGUGCCAGCAGUGGCUAAAUAUUUUGACUCUACCCCUAGCUCACAUCCUCAUGGGUGCCCCAGCCUGAUGUCAUUUGGCCUGUCCUGGGUUCUCAUGCCGUGACCCUCUGCAGUGCCUCUUCCUGGGAGUGAGAAAGACAGCAGAUGGAUCAGCUUUUCUGAGCUCAUCCCUUGUUAGAAUUACAGUUCCAGCUAGUCUAGGAUCUGAGACACUCAGGAAUAGCAGGCGAAACAGGCGAGACAUUUCCCAAGUCACAAAGAGUACACAGCCACAGAAAUCAACAGUCACAAGGGUCUAAUUGUCAUUAGCAUGUAAAUUUUAAAAGCUCAGUCAAAAAUAUCAAUACCUCCCACUUAAUUUAUUACUAUAUAAAGAUGGAUGGGAGUGAAGCAUAGCAUUGAUUUUCAGAGCCCUUAAAAAGAAGGGGGAAGAAAAUAGAGACAACACAAAAUGCCGUGCCUCCAAAUUAAUCAACGUGCUUUUUAAACACACACACACGCACACACACAAAUCCUGUACCAACAGCCUGUGCAGUUCAAUCUUAUUUGAUUGCCUUUUCUGAAAAUGAAGAAAUGGAAUAGGCCAUUUAUGUAAAGAGCCCUCUCAGAAUGGAUUAUAUGUAAAGACAGGUUAGCAUUUUUACUGUAUCGACAGCAAACCAUUAGGCAGCCACACUCCAGCCCAGCCACUGAGAGGAAAUCGAAGAGAAGAGUUCCCUGGCCGGGCCAGGCAGGACAGCCUAUCAGCUCCUGGUCACUGUCACUGAUCAUCCCAGCCCAGGCUGCGGCUCUUCUCCCCGCAUGGCAUGACGACGCCAUCACCCUCAUAGUUACCAAAGUGUUAGAAUAGUCGUGACCACUAAAAAGUAAGUAAAUUCAUCACCAGGUUGAAAACUGUGCUGGAGAGCCUAUAAUCUGGGAAUAGUGUUUGUGUCUGAAAUCACACAGAGAUCAGAGCAAAAUUGUCCCGUGUCAUGAGAAGAUGGGUCACCCCUCUGCAUUUGACAUUUUGAGAUGUUUGCAUCUGUACAGAGGGAGAAAGAGGGCUGGAGAGAAACGACUGCAACGAGAGCAAAAAGGAAAAACAGUAAAGACGUUAGAGACAUUCAUUUUGGAAACACCCUCACGUUACAGAGCACCCAACGAAUACUAUGAAAAGUGGUCAUUAUCAGCCCGGCAAACACUGCUGUGCCGUCUUGCUUGCGAGGAAUGCUGCUGCAUGGGUUUCAAGACAAGAAUCCAGGCUGAAUCAGCAGUGCGGUUUCAACAGUGAUGAGAACAAGUAACUAAGAUCUCUUCUUCCCUUAUUGCUGCAGAAGAGCAAUUAAGGCUGCAUAUUUAGAGAUGAUAUCAGCCAGGAAUCCUGCACAGAGAGAAAAACUCGUUGCAUUUUUUUCUUUCUUCCUUUCCCCGUUCCCUUUUCUGUCCAAAGGAAACCCACAGCAAACUGCGUAAAUGCCGCAGGCACGCAAGCCGACUCCAAACCGCCUACCAAGGGUCAGCUCUACCUGCAGCUGUUGCACAAAAUAAAAUCAACGCAGCCCACCCCAGGCAAACACCCUCUGUGGCUCUUUAUUACCAAAUGAUAUGAACUUUGACCCAACCUGAACAAAAUUUAAUAUUUUCUCCCAAAUAUUUAAAAAAUUCAUUCUGGGGCUUGAGUGGAGUCAGGGAGUCUGCGAGCCGUAAUUUGACAUCUGAAUUAUUCUGAGGCUAAUACGGAAAGCUAUUCAGGAGCUUAUUUGGAGAUGUGUCAAUCAAGAUAUCACUUGUACAGGGAAGAUGGACUCAGGCUUAGGAGUGCAGAUAGCUUUCAGGGAAUCACAAAAUAAAAACCAGGCAGGCUCUGAUGAAUACGUUACGUCUUCAUUCUUGAUGAUGACAUUUUUUUUUUCUUGAUAGAGAGUACAGACCUAACAGAGCGAUGUCUCAGGGACGUGCCUUUUUCCACACCUGUGAAAACAUUUUAACGUUUAUUUAAAAUGAUAACCAUAAACAACAAACAUGGUGUCGAAACUCGCCUCUGUUCAUUUUACUGCGCUGAUUAAGAUUUUAAGCAACGCUUCUAAAUUAGACUGUCAGGCAGCCAUCCUCAAUGCAGGGUUGAGGUUCUGAUCUCGAGCUAGCUUGUGUGAACACACGGCCUUUCUGGGUUGAUUGUGAGCCUGGCCAGCAGCCUUCAAUGUUCUUUCAUUCAUUUUCGAUGAGACGGGGAGGGAUUCAAUUAGCCCUGAUUGUCCAUGAGAUGUGGCCCAAAAUAAAACCACUGGGCUCUGAUAGCCUCCUCUCAAGGUAUUUCCCAGCUGACAGGUAACAAUGUUAAUUACCCAUUAUUAUGA
rnacentral:lncRNA from 10 species